rnacentral:misc_RNA from 1 species
CCUGUUCGAGCGUCGUUUCACCACUCAAGCCUCGCUUGGUAUUGGGCGCCGCGUCUACCGCGCGCCUCAACGUCAUCGGCCGAGUUGUCCCGUCUCUAAGCGUUGUGACCAUCAGUUCGCUUUGGAGGCCGGGGCGGUCGCGCCGCUAAAUCUUUCUCUAGGUUGACCUCGGAUCAGGUAGGGAUACCCGCUGAACUUAA